GAAACAUUUAAUAACACUCAAUUUCAUCAGCUAGAUUCUAAACAAAAUAGAAAAAUUAAACAGACACCGUCAACAAAUGACUGUUCUCAUUUGAGAAAUAUAACACACAAAGCUGUGAAUAAAAAAAACAAAAUAUGUAAAAUAAAGUGUGUAAUUUGUAAUAAUGAUAUACGAUAUUAUUCAACAUAAAAAAAGUAGUUUCAAAAUUCCUAGUGCAUAAAAGGGGAGGGGGGGGGAGGAGAAUGCAAAUUAAAAAAUAAAAACUAUUUAUAAACUUAACUUAAAAGGGAACGGUUUUGACAAUUAAUUCUGGCACAUUAAGCAAUGCAUUUUAGCAGUGGAUAGUGAUAUCAUUUCAAACAUUUCAAAAAGAUUUCUAACUUAGACAUAUUUAAGUAGCUUUGGUCCCAAGUGUUGUAUUUUUUACACCAAUAAUUUUUUCUAGGUACAAUUCAAAAUGAUAAAGAAAGGAAAAAACAGAAAACAGACAAAAAAAUAAAAUAAGCCAAUACAAUAAAUAUUUCAGUUUUAAAUUUUGGAAGAAAUUAGAUAUUCUACUUAACUUAUAGUCAGUGCAAACUUUAAAAUGGCAUAAAAAUAAUAUAUAACGUACAAUUUUAGAAUGACAGGCAUAGCCUGCAUAACCAUUUAAAGCAACCAUUCAUUUGGACAAGUAACAUCAAUUUGUCCCUCUCUCCACCCCGCCCCCACCCCCCAUCACGUGAUCCAAACUUCUUAAAAGAAACAGCUGUUUAAACAUUUAUUUAUUAUUUUUUUUAAAUCCAAGUUAUGUUCUCCAUUCCAAAAUGUCAAAUGGAUCCUUUUUAACCAGACAUAUCGGGACUAGCACAACUUUCCUUAGAGUGAAAUACAAUCAUUCUAUUAAAUCCAGUUUCUCUGGCAUUAGGUUCAUCUAAAAUAUAUCCCCUUUUACAAGCCGGUUACACUGCAGUGAAACCUUUCCUAUUUAAAGAACUCUUAGAUGGUCUAAAGUGUUACUUUCUAGAAAUUCUAUUCGUCCACACCCUGUCUAUAUAGAAAUUGUUACAGUAGAGUCCAAUUCUAAAAAAGUACAUACAUUACAGUCCCACCGGUGUUAGAGGGAUCGGGAUUGCAUUUAGGAAGCGGAGUCAGAUUAACCAUGAAGUUUUCGUCUAGGGCCUAGGGUUUAGACGGGGGCCCUGGAUCUACGAAUUUGCUUGAUCCUUUCAUGUAAACAAUGAACAGGGGGUCCAAAUCUGCUUAGGACCAUGUGAGCUUUUAUACCUUCUCUGUUAGGAAGGAAGAGUUGCCACAGUAAGUGGUUUGUUGUAGACAUUUUUCUUGAACCCAAUGAGCAUACAGUAAUAUGUCUUUGCCAUCCCUUGAGUACGUACUGAAGUAGCAUAGGUACCCAUUUUAGGGUCUCAACCUAGGUGUUAAGAAGCUCUACUGUAGGAGGUCAUGAUGAAAGCAUCACAGUCAAAUGAAUAAUGAAUUCAACAGGACCCAAAGUGGUCACCUGUGAGAAGACUGCAAGUUUAACUUUUUUAAUUCUGGUUUUCCCAUGAAUGGGAGAAAGUUUUGAAUUUCGAGUUUAGCUUUUUUUUCUUUUACACAAAUUUACAUGUCCCUUUCAAAUAAAUAGAUAUUCAAUUAUCGAUUGAACUUUUGAGGUUCCAGGCAUUUUAUCCCAAAAAGGGAGAAAUAGAAUUCCUUUAUAUCUCAAGAACAUGUAAAAGCCUUCCAAAAUAAAAGCUCUUUGGAUGUUGCAGCUUCAUUACAAAAAUUGUAAAUAAAACAACGGCACCCCUAGAUCAAAAAAAUGCACCCAGAUUUUCAAAAUCAUUCAUAUGCAUUAGGUAAAACAAGUACAUAAUAAGUAUGAGUAUUUCAGCAAUGUCACAAGGUGAAUCUGGAAAAUGUAGAAAUAUUUGAUCAAAAUAAUGUGUGUGUGUGUAAACAGAUUGACUCACUUAAUCUAUUUAGCAGCAACAGUGCAUCUUCAAUAUUACUUUAAUAGUAGUGAGUACAACAAAAAAUAAAUAAAAAUACAUUUUAAAAAACCCACAAGAGUCAGAUUUUUGGCUGUACAGCAGCUAUUGCACAGUGACAAUCUGCACUGGUAACAGCUGGCAGCCAAUUCUGAGAAAUUCAAUCCAACAGUUGUAUAAUCACGUUUUAUAUACCCUAGUUUGACAGUAUAAAUUUUAAUCCAAAUGAUCCCUGAAUGAACUGGAUGUUUAAGACUACGGUAAAAAUGACAGCAAAUUCCUGAACAGUCAGUCUAAGCAGUUACAUUACAUGGAACACCUAAAGAAAUCUUAAAGAUGUGUGUCAUUGUGCAGUGUGUGUCUCAUUUGUGUGUGUGUGUGAGAGACCAACUGCCGAGGCAUACAAUAAAGAUUGAGUUAUACCAGUAGUAGCAAGUUGGUUGUGAAGUGCUGAAACUGAUCAACAGGGUAGGAGUUAAAAAGAGGGCCCGCCUAUUGAAAGAGUAUAAAAAAGGGAGAGGUGGGUGGUUUCCAAAAAAACGUAUGCUAAACAUCAGCAGGAAGCUGGGAAGAGGCAGUACAUACAGGCUGGCAACAAAUUCUCUCCCACAAUUCCAGGCAUCCUGUUUUAAAAUUGGUGUACGGGAUCAACUGCUGGGGCAUACAAUAAAGAUGGAGUUAUACCAAUAGAAACAAGUUGGUUGCGAUGUGCCACACAUAUACAUACACGUUUCUGCAACUCAAAGUGAAAUAUAUUAAACUUUAAAGAAACAUUCCUUUUUGACAGAUCAAAUAAAGUGAUCUAUGGGUCCCCCAACCUAAAAAUUCAGGUGUCCCAUUAGAAUUCAAGACUUAUUUUUAUCCAACGAUUCUUCUACAAUGUCAACAGUUUAGAAAAAUCAGAUCAAGAAUAUUUUAUACUAGUAGACACCCAUCAAAUCCAUGGCGUUCAACCCUACCAACACAAUUGGUUGUAGGGAUGAGACAACCAUAUCAUAUAUGAAGUAGCAUCUAAAGCUGGUUAUCUGCUUAACAAGAGUGACAUGAAUAAUGCCAGAUAAUUGGCAUGGUGUUGAUAAAAACAGAUGUGCCAAACCACUUCUUUUGGAUAGUUAACCCUUUGAGAUGCAGGACAACAUUAACAAAAUGUCUUUGAACAUGUAAUGGUUUGCCUUAUUGAUGCAUUUUGCCUUAUUUUAUCAUGUAUAUUUACACACCCUCUACAAUGCCAUUUUGUCACUGCUGUCUUUCCCAGCUACAAGCUAGAUAUGAGAUCUGAUUUCCCACCUCAAAUGCAGAAGUAAAUAAACUGAAGUUAAUGAGUCAUUUAUUGAUCCCUGCAAGUCUGCGACCAACACAGAUCAAUGUAUGAAGAGUGAAUAUAACAUUCUGUUUUAGAGAGGGGAGCUCUACAGAAACGCUAGUUUGGUACGUCAAAAUAAGCAAUACAGGACUCAUGACUUGUACAACGCCAUAUACUAUUUAUUCAUUAUUAUAAAUAAUGAAUUGACUGCGGGAUAUUUGUCUUUUUAUAUAUCCCCCAGUCAAUAUAUGAGUGUGUGUGUAUAUAUAAUUAGAAUAUACAAAAAAAAAGAAGUAGUUUUUAAGGUUUGAUGUAUUUAAGUUCAAACGGACAAAAAUAAAUUAAAUUCAUAUUAACCUGCACAAAACGUUUAUAGGACAAGUUUACCUUCAGGUAGGCUUAGAUACAAUCUAUACAGUGAGCUGGCAAAGUCAACCGCAGUUAUACGCUUGAAGACAGCACCCUCCACUCCUGAUAAGAUAUGCUGGACUGGAUGCUGUGGUUGGGCCCGGUCAGACAUUUACCGCACCCCAUAAUUCCAAGCGUACAGGUGUUAAAUGUAAGAUUAAUGUGAAGGGAAGGUGGUUGCGUUUUAAAGCACGAAUGGUACGUUUUGAUGUAGUCUUUACAGCUUUGCUGAUGGAAUAGUGGUAAAGCCCAGGAAAGUACCACGUUUGGCUAACACACUGUAUAGAUUAAAUUCAAUUCUCUUUAAAAAAAGGGACACCAAGAUGUGUUAGGCAUGACAGAUGCACUUUACAAAAAAAAAAAAAA
rnacentral:lncRNA from 1 species